rnacentral:rRNA from 1 species
GACGAACGCUGGCGGCGUGCCUAAUACAUGCAAGUUGAGCGCUAAAGGUUGGUACUUGUACCGACUGGAUGAGCAGCGAACGGGUGAGUAACGCGUGGGGAAUCUGCCUUUGAGCGGGGGACAACAUUUGGAAACGAAUGCUAAUACCGCAUAACAACUUUAAACACAAGUUUUAAGUUUGAAAGAUGCAAUUGCAUCACUCAAAGAUGAUCCCGCGUUGUAUUAGCUAGUUGGUGAGGUAAAGGCUCACCAAGGCGAUGAUACAUAGCCGACCUGCGAGAGGGGUCGGGCACAUUGGGACUGGGACACGGCGCAAAAUCCUACGGGGGGCAGCAGGAGGGAAUCUUCGGCAAUGGACGAAAGUCUGACCGAGCCACGCCGCGUGAGUGAAGAAGGUUUUCGGAUCGUAAAACUCUGUUGGUAGAGAAGAACGUUGGUGAGAGUGGAAAGCUCAUCAAGUGACGGUAACUACCCAGAAAGGGACGGCUAACUACGUGCCAGCCGCCGCAGUAA